AACAUUUUAUUUUAUCCAUAUGGAUGAUUUAAAAAAUCCAUAUCCACCCUUGUGUGAAUUCACUGAAAAGUUAUACUUCGGUAGCGUUGAAUGAGAAUGUCUUUUCUGGUGUUUGAAGUUCAUGUUGCCGAAAGUAUUUUUUAAUUUUCAUCACUCUUCAAAAAUUUUAUAUCUUAUUUUACGAAAUUUUAAUAUUUCAACCAAAAAUUUAAUA
rnacentral:misc_RNA from 1 species